AUUCGAUUAGAGUUUGAUCAUGGCUCAGAACGUACGCUGGCGGCACGCCUAACACAUGCAAGUCGAACGAAGUAGUAAUACUUAGUGGCAGACGGGUGAGUAACAUGUAGGUAUCUGCCCUUUGGCCUGGAAUAACACGAGGAAACUUGUGCUAAUACCGGAUAAGUCUUUACGGAGAAAGCUUUAUGCACCAUUGGAUGAGCCUGCACUUGAUUAGUUUGUUGGUGGGGUAAUGGCCUACCAAGACUGUGAUCAAUAGCUGAUUUGAGAGGAUGAUCAGCCACAUUGGGACUGAGACACGGCCCAAACCCCUACGGGAGGCAGCAGUGGGGAAUCUUGCACAAUGGAGGAAACUCUGAUGCAGCGAUGCCGCGUGAGUGAAGAAGGCCUUUGGGUUGUAAAGCUCUUUCGUCGGGGAAGAAAAUGACUGUACCCGAAUAAGAAGGUCCGGCUAACUUCGUGCCAGCAGCCGCGGUAAUACGAAGGGACCUAGCGUAGUUCGGAAUUACUGGGCUUAAAGAGUUCGUAGGUGGUUAAAAAAGUUGGUGGUGAAAUCCCAGAGCUUAACUCUGGAACUGCCAUCAAAACUUUUUAGCUAGAGUAUGAUAGAGGAAAGCAGAAUUUCUAGUGUAGAGGUGAAAUUCGUAGAUAUUAGAAAGAAUACCAAUUGCGAAGGCAGCUUUCUGGAUCAUUACUGACACUGAGGAACGAAAGCAUGGGUAGCGAAGAGGAUUAGAUACCCUCGUAGUCCAUGCCGUAAACGAUGUGUGUUAGACGUUGGAAAUUUAUUUUCAGUGUCGCAGCGAAAGCGAUAAACACACCGCCUGGGGAGUACGACCGCAAGGUUAAAACUCAAAUGAAUUGACGGGGACCCGCACAAGUAGUGGAGCAUGUGGUUUAAUUCGAAGAUACGCGCAGAACCUUACCAACACUUGACAUGUUCGUCGCGACUUUAAGAGAUUAAAGUUUUCGGUUCGGCCGGACGAAACACAGGUGCUGCAUGGCUGUCGUCAGCUCGUGUCGUGAGAUGUUGGGUUAAGUCCCGCAACGAGCGCAACCCUCACUUUUAGUUGCCAUCAUUUAGUUGGGCACUCUGAAAGAACUGCCAGUGAUAAGCUGGAGGAAGGUGGGGAUGACGUCAAGUCCUCAUGGCCCUUACGUGUUGGGCUACACACGUGCUACAAUGGUAUCUACAACAGGAAGCAAGACUGCGAAGUUAAGCAAAUCCUUAAAAGAUACCUCAGUUCGGAUUGCACUCUGCAACUCGAGUGCAUGAAGCUGGAAUUACUAGUAAUCGUGGAUCAGCGUGCCACGGUGAAUGCGUUCCCGGGUUCUUGUACACACCGCCCGUA
rnacentral:rRNA from 1 species